rnacentral:rRNA from 1 species
GAUCCUGGCUCAGGAUGAACGCUAGCUACAGGCUUAACACAUGCAAGUCGAGGGGCAGCAUUUUUUAUAGCAAUAUAAAAGAUGGCGACCGGCGCACGGGUGAGUAACACGUAUCCAACCUGCCGAUAACUCGGGGAUAACCCUUCGAAAGGAAGAUUAAUACAAGAUGGCAUCAUGAGUCCGCAUGUUCACAUGAUUAAAGGUAUUCCGGUAGACGAUGGGGAUGCGUUCCAUUAGA